GAAGAGAGAAAAUGAGACAGUGGAAAGAGAGAGACAGGCAGACAGACACAAGGAAGAGCGACAGAGAAAGGACAAGACAGCAGUAGAAAAUGAGUGAAUGAGAGAGAGACAGGGAGGGAGGGGGAGUCUGCUAGAGACAGAAAAGACAAAGAGAAAGAGCCACAGGUAGACCAACAGACACGCUCGAGAGCAUUCAAGGCCUGCGGUUCAGUGAUCCAAGGUCAGCUCCAUGCAUUCCUUCUGUACUUCGUUUGUUUACAGGCACCAAUAAAUUCCCCCUUCACUUCAACAUAAUAGCCACCCUUUCUUGAGCACUUGUGUGCGCCAGGCACUGGGCCAAGCACUUUGGAUGCACGAUCUCAUUUAUGUUGUUACAUCAUAAUGGUUCUAUGAAGGUGUUAGGAAGAACUGAGGAACAGAGAAGUUCAACAAUGUGCUCGAGGUCACACAGCCUGGAAGCAGCAGAGCUGGGGUUUGAACCCAGGCUGUCAGAUGCCAGAGUGCUGGACCACUAUGUGGAGUCACUGUCAUUCAUAACCAAGGAGGUCCUGAGUGGCACUCCAGUAGAGCAGAUUCAGCAGAAAGACCGGCUCAACGCUGGACUGCUGACCCCAGACCCUUGAGAGGCUGGAUGGCAUCGUAUGUGGGCUUGGGAGUCAGACCAAGCAGGAUCGAAUCCAACUUCUUACCUAUGAUUUCCCAGGAAGAAAAGGAUUCCAUGACUCUAAGAAGUCCUAAAACCAAUGAUCUAUCCAGCAGUCAUUCCCAAAGCUGCCUGUGCAUCGGGAUCAACUGGGUGACUUGUCCUCUCCCAUAGCCAGUAAGGCUGAAGAAGUCCUGAAGAAAUGCUGGACUUGCCCUUCAACAUCCAGAGGUGCCCUUCCUGGCUCUACUUCCCUCGUCCUCUGCUGGGCUGCCACCAGUUCACCGGGUUGCUGGGAGGACUGAUAACAGCAUGUGUGGUGGUUGACAUGUGCUGUUGUCUGCCCAUCACCCAUUUCCCCUGCAUCUAAUUACAGAAUGCCCCUUGUCCCUUAGGCACCCACCCUUUCCCACUCUCAAGUCAUGUGGUAUAAGCAGCACUGACCCUCAUGGUACCCCCAAUUCUAAUGGGGUCUCUUCCCCUGCAUCCUGGGGUGUGUGACUUGGGCCUGUUCAAUCUCUGUGUUCCAUGCCUCUUGCCACAAGACUUGAUUUGAGAUGGACAACAAACCCAGUCUAUUCUAUAAGAGUCAAUUCCUGGACCUUGGGCUCAAACUCUUGGGGGAGAGAAAUUCUGUUUCUAGUAGGGUUGUCGAGCUGCAAGAUUUGAGUCUGGAGCUUUCAACAACCAUUUUCCAGCUUCCUAGGGGAAAGCUAGUCUGAGAAUGAAGUUAGCACAGAGCCAAGGGACCAAGACACAGAGACCCUAAGCUGCUGGAUCCACCUGGGCCUGAUGCCAGACAACCCUGUACAUCUCAGUCACAUGAACCAAUAAAUUUUCCUUUCUUGGUCAACCUGAUCUGAGUUGACAUUCUGCUC
rnacentral:lncRNA from 1 species